rnacentral:rRNA from 1 species
GACGAACCGUGCGAACGUUGUUCGGAUUCACUGGGCUUAAAGGGCGCGGAGGCGGUACGCCAAGUCUGGGGUGAAAUCUUUCGGCUCAACCGGAAAAUGGCCUGGGAUACUGGCGUGCUCGAGGGAGGUAGGGGCAGCGGGAACUGCCAGUGGAGCGGUGAAAUGCGUUGAUAUUGGCAGGAACGCCGGUGGUGAAAGCGCGCUGCUGGACCUCUUCUGACGCUGAUGCGCGAAAGCUAGGGGAGCAAACGGG